GAUGAACGCUGGCGGCGUGCUUAACACAUGCAAGUCGAACGGAAAGGCCCAAGCUUGCUUGGGUACUCGAGUGGCGAACGGGUGAGUAACACGUGGGUGAUCUGCCCUGCACUUCGGGAUAAGCCUGGGAAACUGGGUCUAAUACCGGAUAGGACCACAUUUUGGAUGGUGUGUUGGAAAGUUUUUCGGUGUGGGAUGAGCUCGCGGCCUAUCAGCUUGUUGGUGGGGUAAUGGCCUACCAAGGCGUCGACGGGUAGCCGGCCUGAGAGGGUGUACGGCCACAUUGGGACUGAGAUACGGCCCAGACUCCUACGGGAGGCAGCAGUGGGGAAUAUUGCACAAUGGGCGCGAGCCUGAUGCAGCGACGCCGCGUGGGGGAUGACGGCCUUCGGGUUGUAAACUCCUUUCGCUAGGGACGAAGCGUUAUGUGACGGUACCUGGAGAAGAAGCACCGGCUAACUACGUG
rnacentral:rRNA from 1 species